CACGCAGGCGGCUGCUUAAGUCUGACGUGAAAUCUCCUGGCUUAACUGGGAGGGGUCGUUGGAAACUGAGUAGCUUGAGGCAGUGAGAGGGGUGUAGAAUUCCCGGUGUAGUGGUGGAAUGCGUAGAUAUCGGGAGGAAUACCAGAGGCGAAGGCGACACCCUGGCACUGACCUGACGCUCAUGUGCGAAAGCGUGGGGAGCGAACG
rnacentral:rRNA from 1 species